AGGCUUCUCCUUCCUUUGGACUGCACAGCACUCCUUCUUUCUCCUCCUUUAGUGGCUGCACAAGGUGGAUGAAUGGUUAUGGAAGGAUGUAGGAAUGGUUUGGGGAAGAGGAUGGUGCGGCAAGGUUGAAUUUGGGCAGAAAGUUGGGAGUUUGGGGUUGGAAGGCUGCGGCAAGGUGGGAAAUAGGGUUUUGGACGAAUUUCUGAAUAUGGAGAGGGUCGUCUCCGGCCAAGGGAGGUAAAACACAUAUAUAUAGGCAGCCAAACCCUAAAGAAAUCAAGUUAGACAAAUGGGCUAGGGUUUAGGUGCGGCUAGGGUUAAGAAAUCCACCCAAAACUAGGGUUUCUAGAACAUUAGGUGCGGCAUGGGCUUAGGGUAAGUAAUCAGAUUUUUUUCAUGUGAACAAGGCCUAGGUGCGGCUGAUUAAGUGGGCUAGGGUUAGGGUUAGGUGCGGCAUAGGUCCAAGAGGCAAAGAUGGGUCAUCCAAAAGCCCAAAGCCAAGAAUAGAAACUCUCGAAAAUGGAAACCUCCAAGAAUAGAAACUUCCAACUUUAGAAACUUUAGUUGCCAAUUCCGACUUCUUUGUUCUUUACUUUCAUUUCUUCAUUUCUUAAGCUCCCUCGACCUUCAAACUCGUCCAUUCCUUGUUCCAAGCAUGUACUUUUC
rnacentral:lncRNA from 1 species